UACGUAGGGUGCAAGCGUUAAUCGGAAUUACUGGGCGUAAAGCGUGCGCAGGCGGUUAUGCAAGACAGAUGUGAAAUCCCCGGGCUUAACCUGGGAACCGCAUUUGUGACUGCAUAGCUGGAGUACGGCAGAGGGGGAUGGAAUUCCGCGUGUAGCAGUGAAAUGCGUAGAUAUGUGGAGGAACACCGAUGGCGAAGGCAACCCCCUGGGUUAACACUGACGCUCAUGCACGAAAGCGUGGGGAGCAAACAGG
rnacentral:rRNA from 1 species